rnacentral:rRNA from 1 species
UACGUAGGGUGCGAGCGUUGUCCGGAAUUACUGGGCGUAAAGAGCUCGUAGGUGGUUUGUCGCGUUGUUCGUGAAAACCGGGGGCUUAACCCUCGGCGUGCGGGCGAUACGGGCAGACUUGAGUACUGCAGGGGAGACUGGAAUUCCCGGUGUAGCGGUGAAAUGCGCAGAUAUCGGGAGGAACACCGGUGGCGAAGGCGGUUCUCUGGGCCUUACCUGACGCUGAGGAGCGAAAGCGUGGGGAGCGAACAGG